rnacentral:tRNA from 1 species
AGGAAGGUACCGUUUGUUGGUUUGACGGGUGGAGCUGUAAAAUCAAUAGCUAUUGACCACAAGAGUUCGAUUCUCUUAUUUUCCUA